rnacentral:rRNA from 1 species
AUUGAACGCUGGCGGAAUGCUUUACACAUGCAAGUCGAACGGCAGCACGGACUUCGGUCUGGUGGCGAGUGGCGAACGGGUGAGUAAUGUAUCGGAUCGUGCCCAGUCGUGGGGGAUAACGUAGUGAAAAUUACGCUAAUACCGCAUACGAUCUAUGGAUGAAAGCGGGGGAUCGCAAGACCUCGCGCGAUUGGAGCGGCCGAUAUCAGAUUAGGUAGUUGGUGGGGUAAAGGCCCACCAAGCCAACGAUCUGUAGCUGGUCCGAGAGGACGACCAGCCACAAUGGAACUGAGACACGGUCCAGACUCCUACGGGAGGCAGCAGUGGGGAAUUUUGGACAAUGGGCGAAAGUCUGAUCCAGCCAUUCCGCGUGCAGGAUGAAGGCCCUCGGGUUGUAAACUGCUUUUGUACAGAACGAAAAGGUUUCUACUAAUACUAGGAGCUCAUGACGGUACUGUAAGAAUAAGCACCGGCUAACUACGUGCCAGCCGCCGCAGUAA